GUGGGUAUAACUCAGUGGUAGAGCAUAUGUUUAGUGUGUACAAGGUCCUGGGUUCAAACCCCAGGACCUCCA
rnacentral:tRNA from 1 species